UGGGGAAUAUUGCACAAUGGGCGAAAGCCUGAUGCAGCGACGCCGCGUGCGGGAUGAAGGCCUUCGGGUUGUAAACCGCUUUUAAUUGGGAGCAAGCGAGAGUGAGUGUACCUUUUGAAUAAGCACCGGCUAACUACGUGCCAGCAGCCGCGGUAAUACGUAGGGUGCAAGCGUUAUCCGGAAUUAUUGGGCGUAAAGAGCUCGUAGGCGGUUUGUCACGCCUGGUGUGAAAGUCCAUCGCUUAACGGUGGAUCUGCGCCGGGUACGGGCAGGCUAGAGUGCAGUAGGGGAGAUUGGAAUUCCCGGUGUAACGGUGGAAUGUGUAGAUAUCGGGAAGAACACCAAUGGCGAAGGCAGAUCUCUGGGCUGUUACUGACGCUGAGGAGCGAAAAGCAUGGGGAGCGAACAGGAU
rnacentral:rRNA from 1 species